GUGUUAGAUAUGCUCUCUAGGCUUUGUUGAGAACCAGCUCUCAGGAAUCAGUGAGGAGUUGUGUUGGUGUUCAGCACCUGAUCCUACAUCUCAUCUGAAGGUCUGGAGGCUCACUUGCUACCAGCCAAAGCACCCACAGCAGUAACUGAGGAUACUGGGGGGAAAAAAUUCUCCCCAAGAGCAGUCAGUCAUUGGAACUGCCCAAGCAGGUGUGGGAGUCACCAUCCCUGGAGGUGUUAUGAAAAGGAUAGGUGUCACAUUGAGAGGAUUUCAAAGAUGAGGCAGAGGAAGGCAUUCUGAAGAACAAAGAUCACCAUUUCAGUAGUGCUCUGGAAAGGAAAUGGGGGGGGGUGUUGGGAAUGCCAGGCUGAUUUGCAACACAAAUCUAUGUUUUGCAUCUGAUUAUUGUAGGCUUUGUUCUGAGGAUGGGUUAUCAUAGCCAAAGGAGCUGGAUGCCCAUACUGGCCUCUCCUGGUACU
rnacentral:lncRNA from 1 species